rnacentral:misc_RNA from 1 species
AGUCGUAACAAGGUUUCCGUAGGUGAACCUGCGGAAGGAUCAUUAACACAUUGUCCAUUUGGAGAUUGAUGAUUUCAGAAUUGGGUAAAACCAUAUUUGAAUCACAAUCUUUCAAACUUAAAGUAAACUGUUGAAGUCUUCAAUAUGUUUUUUAAACAUAUAGUUGAUUACUAGUGAUUCUCGAUCAAUGAAAUUUGGGAUAUUUAUAUUUCAAUUUUCGUUCGACUGAUGUUUCAUUUAAAAACAAUAAAUAUAACCAAGACAACUUGUAACAGUGGAUACCUUGGUUCCCAG